ACGGGGGAUCCAAGCGUUAUCCGGAAUAACUGGGCGUAAAGCGUUGCGUAGGCGGCAGUGUAAGCGAAGUGUGAAAUCGUGUGGCUCAACCAUGCGGCUAUGCUUUGAACUGCACCGCUAGAGAGUGAGAGAGGUUACUGGAAUUUCUAGUGUAGGAGUGAAAUCCGUAGAUAUUAGAAGGAACACCGAUGGCGUAGGCAGGUAACUGGCUCAUUUCUGACGCUCAGGCACGAAAGCGUGGGGAGCAAACGGGA
rnacentral:rRNA from 1 species